rnacentral:rRNA from 1 species
UACGUAGGGUGCGAGCGUUGUCCGGAAUUACUGGGCGUAAAGAGCUCGUAGGUGGUUUGUCGCGUUGUCCGUGAAAACUCACAACUCAAUUGUGGGCGUGCGGGCGAUACGGGCAGACUGGAGUACUGCAGGGGAGACUGGAAUUCCUGGUGUAGCGGUGGAAUGCGCAGAUAUCAGGAGGAACACCGGUGGCGAAGGCGGGUCUCUGGGCAGUAACUGACGCUGAGGAGCGAAAGCGUGGGAGCGAACAGGAUAGAAACC